rnacentral:lncRNA from 1 species
GAGGAUUAUGGUGUCUGUUAGACUUUCUGGGAGCAGGUACAGAAGGAGGAGGAUCCAAAACAUGAGGGAAAACAGCAGGACCGAGUGGAGUUGGAGAAGGCACCUGGACAGGAGUGUCAGAAGAGGGAGGAGAAAGUGGAAUGGGAGAGUCAGAGAUAUCAUCAUGUUCUCCAGAGAGAAGAGAAGGAAAAGACGAAGCUGAGGGAGAGGCAUGUUUAAAAGGAAAAACUGAUUCAUGAAAU